GCCGUGUCUGGGAUAGGGUGUGGAGAAGAUUCUAGGUUCUGGGACGGGGACGGAGAAGAGAACAGGGCUCUUCCGCGAGGAUGCGAAACUCAAUAAAUUCAGUAAAAACCAAGGCAUAUAAAAUAUCACCCCAAAUUUCAUCACCCUGAAAUAACUAUUACUGCCAUUAAGAACUCCACUACAGACAUUUUUCCUGACAACUACUGAAGUAUUUAAAAGUGAAGUGAUUAUUUUGGGGAUUUGUUUUUUAAAAUUUCACAAGGAAAAAGUGAGUGAGCAUGGAAAUGGAUUUGUCAAGCAAAUGACACCUGUUACCAACUCCAGGGGAGGAGUCCUACUGCAUGGAGGAUAGCAAAUAGCUGAAGAAUGCCUGCCACCAAGAGCAGCAAUCCCAGAAUGUCUACUCCUUGGUUUGUACAUGCCAGGGUUGCCAAGAGAGACACAACUCACGUAGGCACUGGAUGGAACAACACUUUACUCACAUAGGGAAGAAACAGCAAGAUCAGCUUCAGUAGUGGGCAUUGGUCCCCCAUGGCUUAAGAAGAGUUUAAACGCAAAUGAGAAAUCAAGAAAGAUUGAAGAAUCUGGGUUUUUUUCCUGAUUAUAAAAUAUUUAAAAUGUAUAUCAAAGUGCAGAGAAUAACAUUUUUAAAAACCCAUAUACUCAUCCCUCCAAAUCUAUCUAAUCCUAAUAUUUUGCUAUAUUUCCUUCCAAUUUUUUAAGGAAAUAGGUAAUAGUGGAGGCUGUCUUUUAUUCCACAUCUCUUUCCUCUUCCUGGUGCCCACAGAAUUGGUUAUCCUUGAAGCUCAAUAUCUCAGUCAGGUUAUAUCACAGUAUUGAUCCAUCAAGUGUCAUUUUUCCUGGUACACGGUAUAUCCUUUCCUUUGUAGAUUGUUUUCCUUCUUUCGGGCA